rnacentral:rRNA from 1 species
UACGAACCGUCCAAACGUUAUUCGGAAUCACUGGGCUUACAGAGUUCGUAGGCGGCGGAGAAAGUAGGGUGUGAAAGCCCUCGGCCUAACCGAGGAAUUGCGCCCUAAACUACUUCGCUCGAGGAGGCUAGAGGUGAGCAGAACUGAUGGUGGAGCGGUGAAAUGCGUUGAUAUCAUCAGGAAUACCGGAGGCGAAAGCGGCUCACUGGGACCUUUCUGACGCUGAGGAACGAAAGCUAGGGGAGCGAACGGGAUUAGAUACCCCGGUAGUCCUAGCCGUAAACGAUGAGCACUAGACCGGAGAUCUGCACAGGUUUUCGGUCGUAGCGAAAGUGUUAAGUGCUCCGCCUGGGGAGUAUGGUCGCAAGGCUGAA